AGAUUGAACGCUGGCGGCAUGCCUUACACAUGCAAGUCGAACGGCAACACGGGAGCAAUCCUGGUGGCGAGUGGCGAACGGGUGAGUAAUACAUCGGAACGUGCCCAAUCGUGGGGGAUAACGCAGCGAAAGCUGUGCUAAUACCGCAUAAGAUCUACGGAUGAAAGCAGGGGAUCGCAAGACCUUGCGCGAAUGGAGCGGCCGAUGGCAGAUUAGGUAGUUGGUGAGGUAAAGGCUCACCAAGCCUUCGAUCUGUAGCUGGUUUGAGAGGACGACCAGCCACACUGGGACUGAGACACGGCCCAGACUCCGUACGGGAGGCAGCAGGUGGGGAA
rnacentral:rRNA from 1 species